UGCCCUAGUAACGGCGAGUGAAGCGGCAACAGCUCAAAUUUGAAAUCUGGCCCUAGGCCCGAGUUGUAAUUUGCAGAGGAUGCUUUUGGCGAGGUGCUUACCGAGUCCCCUGGAAUGGGGCGCCACAGAGGGUGAGAGCCCCGUAUGGUAUGCCACCGAACCUUUGUAAAGCUCCUUCGACGAGUCGAGUAGUUUGGGAAUGCUGCUCUAAAUGGGAGGUAAAUUUCUUCUAAAGCUAAAUACCGGCCAGAGACCGAUAGCGCACAAGUAGAGUGAUCGAAAGAUGAAAAGCACUUUGAAAAGAGGGUUAAAUAGCACGUGAAAUUGUUGAAAGGGAAGCGCUCGUGACCAGACUUGCGCCGGGCGGAUCAUCCAGCGUUCUCGCUGGUGCACUCCGCCCGGCUCAGGCCAGCAUCGGUUUUCGCCGGGGGACAAAAGCUUCGGGAACGUAGCUCCCUUCGGGGAGUGUUAUAGCCCGUUGCAUAAUACCCCGGCGGGGACCGAGGACCGCGCUUCGGCAAGGAUGCUGGCGUAAUGGUCAUCAGCGACCCGUCUUGAAACACGGACCGAGGAGUCAAGCAUUAGUGCGAGUGUUUGGGUGUAAAACCCGCACGCGUAAUGAAAGUGAACGUAGGUGAGAGCUUCGGCGCAUCAUCGACCGAUCCUGAUGUUUUCGGAUGGAUUUGAGUAGGAGCAUUAACGCUUGGACCCGAAAGAUGGUGAACUAUACUUGAAUAGGGUGAAGCCAGAGGAAACUCUGGUGGAGGCUCGCAGCGGUUCUGACGUGCAAAUCGAUCGUCAAAU
rnacentral:rRNA from 1 species